rnacentral:snoRNA from 1 species
AUUUGAUGAUGUGGACAUUGUAUCUGCAACUCCCCAAAUCUUUCCCAAGCUUCGAAGAAUUCCUCCGUAUAUAUGCUUCUGUCUAAAAGUUUGGAUCUUGUUUCUCAACUC